AUUGAACGCUGGCGGCAGGCCUAACACAUGCAAGUCGAACGAGUGGCGGACGGGUGAGUAAUGUCUGGGAAACUGCCCGAUGGAGGGGGAUAACUACUGGAAACGGUAGCUAAUACCGCAUACCAUUGGUUUUGCCCAGAGGGGAUUAGCUUGUGGGUGAGGUAACGGCUCACCUAGGCGACGAGCCCUAGCUGGUCUGAGAGGAGGACCAGCCACACUGGAACUGAGACACGGUCCAGACUCCUAAGGGAGGCAGCAGUGGGGAAUAUUUGACAAUGGGCGAAAGCCUGAUGCAGCAAUGCCGCGUGUAUGAAGAAGGCCUUCGGGUUGUAAAGUACUUUCAGCGGGGAGGCGUUACCCGCAGAAGAAGCACCGGCUAACUCCGUGCCAGCAGCCGCGGUAAUUC
rnacentral:rRNA from 1 species